GAUUUCGUGGCGAAACGGUAGCGCGCCUGACCCCAGAUCAGGAGGUUGCGUGUUCAAUCACGUUGAGAUCA
rnacentral:tRNA from 1 species